AUUGAACGCUGGCGGCAGGCUUAACACAUGCAAGUCGAGCGGAGACUUCGGUCUUAGCGGCGAACGGGUGAGUAAUACCUAGGAAUCUGCCUAUUAGUGGGGGAUAACGAAUCGAAAGGUUCGCUAAUACCGCAUACGUCCUACGGGAGAAAGGGGAGGAUCUUCGGACCUCUCGCUAAUAGAUGAGCCUAGGCCGGAUUAGCUAGUUGGUAGGGUAAAGGCCUACCAAGGCGACGAUCUGUAGCUGGUCUGAGAGGAUGGCCAGCCACACUGGAACUGAGACACGGUCCAGACUCCUACGGGAGGCAGCAGUGGGGAAUAUUGGACAAUGGGGGCGAACCCUCGAUCCAGCCAUGCCGCGUGUGUGAAGAAGGCCUCGUGUAG
rnacentral:rRNA from 1 species